rnacentral:rRNA from 1 species
UACGAGUGCCUCAAGCGUUAUCCGGAAUCAUUGGGCGUAAAGGAUGUGUAGGUGGCUGCGUUAGUCUCUCGUUAAAUUCUUCGGCUUAACCGGGGGUCUGCGGGGGAAACGGCACAACUAGAGGAUGCAAGGGGUCUGCGGAACUCAUAGUGUAGCGGUGAAAUGCGUUGAUAUUAUGGGGAACACCAAAAGCGAAGGCAGCAGACUAGGGCACUCCUGACACUGAAACAUGAAAGCGUGGGUAGCGAAUGGG